ensembl:lncRNA
UUGUGGUUAGAGAAGCAAAAAGAAGAGAAAAAAACUGCACGAGUGAAAUUUCCUGGUAAUUCUGACCUGGCCUUUCUGAGCUCCAGAGAUGCUUCUGCUCCCAGCUUUCCUCCCCAGAGGCCCCCAGACCAGAGACCCCCAGGACUCCAUGGGAGGUGACCAUU